UUGGCUCGGAGGGGGUGCGGAAGCCAGGCGCGCCCUGGUGUUCACAGGCUGUCAGAAAGUGACAGUUUGUAAAAACAGGUCCCUGCUGAGAGAUGCCCCAAAGGUCUUUCAGGGGCUGGAGAUGGCACUGGGAAGUCUGCAACUCGGGGACGCAUCAGCGCUUGGCACUAUGACCCCGUGACCCCACGACUGUUACAUCAGAGCCAGGCAGGGUGGGGGGAAGCACUGUGGUUUCCAGAACUACCUUGGGAACCUCAGUCCCACCCAACAUGCACUAAAACAGAAUCUUGGAGGAACCCCCCCCCCCCCCCCCCCCAGGGAACUAGGUUUUAAACCGAAUCUCAAGUAACACUCACAUAACGGGAUUCCACCCGCCUGACCUCUGGUGUGUUAAUUCUCUUCCAGGACCCCAGAAGCCUCAUCUGUAGUAGGUUAAGACCGGCACCACCAAUGACCUGGUAGGCUUCGUGUGGGAACCAGAGAAGACGACAGACAAGCACUUUGCUUGCAGAAAGCACCUUGCAUGGACAAGCACCUUGCAGAAAGCACUAGCAAGGGUCCCCUAGCGUCACGAUGGUGGGCACGCAGACACAGAUCUCCUGCUCGUAAACCAGCAAAGGCUCCUCGUUUUCCAGGGCACAGACUCCGGGUGUGUUCUCCAGGCUUCCGGGCCCUUUGGAACUGACCGCGUGGCUCACCCAUCCCACCUCAUCCCCCUCCGUCUAUCCACCCCAUGAUACUCCACUCCAGUCGGGCCAGCACGCCCUUCUUGCUGUAAAAUGGCCCCUGUUCCUUCCAGCCAUCAUUCCACCCUCCCUGACUGUCCAACUCUUUUGCCCCCUUCCUGCCCUCAGCCUACCCGGCCAGCAAGGUCCCACUCCAUUCCAUUUUCCUCAGGGAGCCGUCCCUGAUGGCUGCAGCCUUCACAGUGCAAUUGACUCUGAAAUCCUACGUGAUAAUAAGCCCGCAAUUAAACAGUUCA